rnacentral:rRNA from 1 species
GUAGGGCGCAAGCGUUAUCCGGAAUUAUUGGGCGUAAAGAGCUCGUAGGCGGUUUGUCGCGUCUGCCGUGAAAGUCCGGGGCUCAACUCCGGAUCUGCGGUGGGUACGGGCAGACUAGAGUGAUGUAGGGGAGACUGGAAUUCCUGGUGUAGCGGUGAAAUGCGCAGAUAUCAGGAGGAACACCGAUGGCGAAGGCAGGUCUCUGGGCAUUAACUGACGCUGAGGAGCGAAAGCAUGGGGGGAGCGAACAGGAUUAGAUACCCUGGUAGUCCAUGCCCGUAAACGUUGGGCACUAGGUGUGGGGGACAUUCCACGUUUUCCGCGCCGUAGCUAACGCAUUAAGUGCCCCCGCCUGGGAGUACGGCCGCAAGGCUA